rnacentral:rRNA from 1 species
UACGUAGGGACCAAGCGUUGCUCGGAUUUACUGGGCGUAAAGGGCGCGUAGGCGGCAUGACAAGUCACUUGUGAAAUCUCCGGGCUUAACUCGGAACGGUCAAGUGAUACUGUCGCGCUAGAGUGCGGAAGGGGCAAUCAGAAUUCUUGGUGUAGCGGUGAAAUGCGUAGAUAUCAAGAGGAAUACCUGAGGUGAAGACGGGUUGCUAGGCCGACACUGACGCUGAAGCGCGAAAGCCAGGGGAGCAAACGGG